CUAGUUUAGGGUACUCAGUGCCCAAACUUCAACCCUGUGAUUUACCAACUUGUUUCUUUGCCGGUUUGACCACCGGCAGAAGGAUUCUCAAACUCAUUGAUAAAGUUGCAGUCUGAAUAUUUGAUUUGAAAAUCAAAAGCA
rnacentral:misc_RNA from 1 species